GACGAACGCUGGCGGCGUGCUUAACACAUGCAAGUCGAACGGAAAGGCCCUGCUUGCAGGGUACUCGAGUGGCGAACGGGUGAGUAACACGUGGGUGAUCUGCCCUGCACUUCGGGAUAAGCUUGGGAAACUGGGUCUAAUACCGGAUAGGAGCCAUCUUUAGUGUGGUGGUUGGAAAGUUUUUUCGGUGUAGGAUGAGCUCGCGGCCUAUCAGCUUGUUGGUGGGGUAAUGGCCUACCAAGGCGGCGACGGGUAGCCGGCCUGAGAGGGUGUACGGCCACAUUGGGACUGAGAUACGGCCCAGACUCCGACGGGAGGCAGCAGUGGGGAAUAUUGCACAAUGGGCGCAAGCCUGAGGCAGCGACGCCGCGUGGGGGAUGAAGGCCUUCGGGUUGUAAACUCCUUUCGCUAGGGACGAAGCUUUUUUGUGACGGUACCUAGAUAAGAAGCACCGGCUAACUACGUG
rnacentral:rRNA from 1 species